UCGAGGAUCAUUUGCAAUGGGCGCAAGCCUGACAAUGCGACGCUGCGUGGAGGAUGAAGGCCUUCGGGUUGUAAACUCCUGUCAUUUGGGAACAAGCCCGGGGAGGGGAUAAUCCUUUCCGGGGUGAUAGUACCAGAAGAGGAAGUCACGGCUAACUCUGUGCCAGCAGCCGCGGUGAUACAGAGGUGGCAAGCGUUGUUCGGAUUUACUGGGCGUAAAGGGUGCGUAGGUAGUUUUGCGUGUCAGAUGUGAAAGCUCAUCGCUCAACGAUGAAAGUGCAUUUGAAACUGCAGGACUGGAGUACGGGGGAGGAGAGUGGAAUUCUUGGUGUAGCGGUGAAAUGCGUAGAUAUCAAGAAGAACACCGGUGGCGAAGGCGACUCUCUAUCCCGAUACUGACGCUGAGGCACGAAAGCUGGGGGAGCAAACAGG
rnacentral:rRNA from 1 species